rnacentral:lncRNA from 1 species
CUUAUAGAAUAUUGAAUAGUAUAUUAAUAUUAAUAUAUUAAUAUUUGAUAUUUUCUUACAUCUCUUCCUUUCUUCCAGGAAACGUGGCUUACUAUAUUCUUUUGCAUGAAAUGCUUUUACUAACCAACUUCCCUAAAAAAGAGAAAGUCAGGUGCAAAAAAAAUGAUAUUUGCCGAACCUCACAUAACACCAAGAAAGGGAACCAUACAUCACAACUUGACCCCUUUGCUGUCCUGGAAGGCAUGUUUAUCUCCUCUGCUUUCUGCAUUACCCCCAUUGGAAUAGAGAGCAGGACGGGAAUACAGCCAAGAAAUGAAGGAGUGAGUCUAAAAAAAAUGGACUUGUUAAGUGUGAUCGCUGUUGCUAGACCACUUGUCAAUAAAUUGGACAAUUCAUUUUUCCAACGGUAAUGACAAGCACCUUCUCUAAAAUCCCUUCUAACA